rnacentral:rRNA from 1 species
AAUGGCUGCAGUAAUAUAACUGUACAAAGGUAGCAUAAUCAUUAGUUUUUUAAUUAAAAGCUUGUAUGAAAGGUUGGACGAAGUAAAAUCUGUCUCUUUUUAAAAUAAUUAGAAUUUAAUUUUUAAGUAAAAAAGCUUAAAUUUAUAUAAAAGACGAGAAGACCCUAUAGAGUUUAAUAAUUAAUUUUAAAUAAUUAAUUUAGAUUUAUUUAUUUUAUUUAUUAUAUAAUUAUUUUAUUGGGGUAAUAGAAAGAUUAAUAUAAUUCUUUUUUUUAUUUUACAUUAAUAUAUGAAUUAAAUGAUCCAUUUUUUAUGAUUAAAAGAUUAAAUUACCUUAGGGAUAACAGCGUAAUUUUUUUAAAGAGUUCAUAUCGAUAAAAAAGUUUGCGACCUCGAUGUUGGAUUAAAGAUUAAUUUAGGUGUAGAAGUUUAAAUUUUUGGUCUGUUCGACCAUUAAAUCUUUACAUGAUCUGAGUUCAAACCGGUGUAAGCCAGGUUGGUUUCUAUCUUUAUAAAAUUUUUAUAUUUUAGUACGAAAGGACCAAAUAUUUAAUAUAUAAAUAUUUAAUUAUUUUGAAUAU